GCACACGUCGUCGUCAAAAUAGCGGACCGCCGUGCGACUUUUCUCGAAGUUUUUACGCCGGACAAUCGACGACGUCAUCGAUCUCUAAAUAGAGUAUACUUAUAGACGAUUCUAUAGUCGCGGUUCAUACAAUUCAUAGUGAACAAAAAAAUAAUAAGCCACUAAUAUUAACGGACAGUUCGUUAAACCGUACAAAUUAUAAUUUUCAGUUCAUCGGAGUGAGAUGAUUAGAUGGAGAUGGAUGAAGAUAGCUGUUUCUUCGGCGAUGGCGGCACUCUAGCUACGUUUCACCGGAAGAGUAGAUGUUUACGAUUCUGGCUGUAUUCUGGAGCGUUUCCUCAUGGGCGUAGCAGUUCACACACGUCACGGAUUCCGCCGAAGGAGUCGAUAAUUAAAGUUUUUAGAAAAGAAAAGAAAAGCGGUCCGACCGCGCGUUGCUGCAGCCCCUUAGGAGGUCGUCGCCAGUCACUUCCAUAAGUAUAUGUAUUAUUAUUUAGUUAUUUAUCGUUAGUCGACGUUGGUUUAUGUAGAGGUGUAAUAUGCGAUUGUAAUAAACGCUCUAAACUGUUUAAAACAUUAAAUUGGCCACGGUCAGCCACCUCGCGGUCCUCAUGUACACGACGAGGUUUAUUAUGGCUUUUAAACGCGUGAACAAUAACAAAAAUAAAACAAACAAAUUACCCCCUGGUCGGCUGCAAGGUUCUUGAUUUCAUGAUUCUUGGCUAAGGGGGCAAACUCUGUUAUAUGACUGUACAUAUUAUUACAGUUAAGAUUUGCCGCUAGGGACAAUAAUAUUUGCAGUUCAAAAUGUCCUUAUCAGCUAAGUACAACAAGCAAGAAAACUGGCUAUCACCAAAUCUUAAAAUAUAACCAUGAUUAUUUGUUUCUUGUAUAAUAAUCAACACAAAACAUGAAUCUAAUCGACGAUGUUUUUGAUAUAUUUUAUCGUAUUAAUGUUAGAUAUUUUUUGAUUUAAAUAAAAUCGAAUUACUGAAAAAUUGCUCUUUUUAAAAUAUAUUUUAUAAUUAAAAACAUAAAGUUUGCGGUUUUGCAGACUGCACAAGCAAUGAAUCCACCAGAAGUGGAAUAGCCAAUGAGUAAUCCAUAAUUGCCGUGUAUAUUAAAUUAAAAUUUUAGAGUUCUUGGGAAAACGUUUAAGUUAUUAAUUUUCAAUUCGGCAAUCAACAAUAGCUGAGGACUUGCCCAACGGGUUUAGUAGCCCAGUCUGGCCUUAAUAAAUAUAAACAAACCUGAACAAUCUCAGAACCAUAAAUUCUUCAAGUUUUUUAAAAGUACUAUAUAUAUGCCUUCAGCUAUUGGACUGGAGAGAAUAAUUAUUAAAAAACCUGGGAACUCAUUCUGCUGUACAGCAUAAUAUUUCGAGUAAACUCCUCAUCACUCAUCAGAGUAGGUAUUACUGUUGGUAACGGAUGUGUUAAAUUUGAAUUCUAAAAUGUAUCUGAGUGGAGACAGUGUAUCAACCUAUAUUAAUUCUAAGGAUAUUUUAUAAAUUAUUAUUAUUAUUAUUUUAUAUUAUGAUAAAAACAUCAAAUAAUAUUAUAACUUACAAGUCGAUAUCAACGUACCGUAAAUAGGUUAAUGGUAUAAAUAGCUUAAAAUAAAUAAAAAUAUUUUGAAAAUAACAUUGUGCAAUGUAACUAAUAAUAUGCAUAUCAGCAAAAAGUUUUAAAUUUCUGCGAACAAUAUUUUUUUUUAAUAUGCCUAACUAGAAUCGUUAUUUUUCGUUUAUCCAUUU